CUAUGUCCUAUCAGGUAGUUGGUGAGGUAACGGCUCACCAAGCCAAUGACGGGUAUCUGGUUUGAGAGGAUGAUCAGACACACUGGAACUGAGACACGGUCCAGACUCCUACGGGAGGCAGCAGUGAGGAAUAUUGCACAAUGGAGGAAACUCUGAUGCAGCAACGCCGCGUGGAGGAUGACGCAUUUCGGUGUGUAAACUCCUUUUAAGAGGGAAGAUUAUGACGGUACCUCUUGAAUAAGCACCGGCUAACUCCGUGCCAGCAGCCGCGGUAAUACGGAGGGUGCAAGCGUUACUCGGAAUCACUGGGCGUAAAGGGUGCGUAGGCUGACUUUUAAGUCAGGCGUGAAAUCCAAUGGCUUAACCAUUGAACUGCGCUUGAAACUGGGAGUCUAGAGUUCAGAAGGGGCAGAUGGAAUUAGUGGUGUAGGGGUAAAAUCCGUAGAUAUCACUAGGAAUAUCAAAAGCGAAGGCGAUCUGCUGGGAUGAUACUGACGCUGAGGCACGAAAGCGUGGGGAGCAAACAGGAUUAGAUACCCUGGUAGUCCACGCCCUAAACGAUGAAUGCUAGUCGUCGGGGAGCUCGUCUCUUCGGUGAUGCACUUAACAGAUUAAGCAUUCCGCCUGGGGAGUACGGUCGCAAGAUUAAAACUCAAAGGAAUAGACGGGGACCCGCACAAGUGGUGGAGCAUGUGGUUUAAUUCGAAGAUACACGAAGAACCUUACCUGGCCUUGACAUGGUAGGAACCCUGUAGAGAUACGGGGGUGCUGGCUUGCUGGAGCCUACACACAGGUGCUGCACGGCUGUCGUCAGCUCGUGUCGUGAGAUGUUGGGUUAAGUCCCGCAACGAGCGCAACCCUCGUCCUUAGUUGCUAACGGUUCGGCCGAGCACUCUAAGGAGACUGCCUUCGCAAGGAGGAGGAAGGUGAGGACGACGUCAAGUCAUCAUGGCCCUUACGGCCAGGGCUACACACGUGCUACAAUGGGGCGUACAGAGAGCUGCGAUACCGCGAGGUGGAGCCAAUCUCUUAAAGCGUCUCUCAGUUCGGAUUGUUCUCUGCAACUCGAGAACAUGAAGCUGGAAUCACUAGUAAUCGCAGAUCAGCUAUGCUGCGGUGAAUACGUUCCCGGGUCUUGUACUCACCGCCCGUCACACCAUGGGAGUUGAUUUCACCCGAAAUCGGGAUGCCAAAC
rnacentral:rRNA from 1 species